rnacentral:rRNA from 1 species
AUUGAACGCUGGCGGCAGGCCUAACACAUGCAAGUCGAACGGUAACAGGAAACAGCUUGCUGUUUCGCUGACGAGUGGCGGACGGGUGAGUAAUGUCUGGGAAACUGCCUGAUGGAGGGGGAUAACUACUGGAAACGGUAGCUAAUACCGCAUAACGUCGCAAGACCAAAGAGGGGGACCUUCGGGCCUCUUGCCAUCAGAUGUGCCCAGAUGGGAUUAGCUAGUAGGUGGGGUAACGGCUCACCUAGGCGACGAUCCCUAGCUGGUCUGAGAGGAUGACCAGCCACACUGGAACUGAGACACGGUCCAGACUCCUACGGGAGGCAGCAGUGGGGAAUAUUGCACAAUGGGCGCAACCCUGAUGCAGCCAUGCCGCGUGAGUGAAGAAGGCCUUCGGGUUGUAAAGCUCUUUCAGAUGCGAAGAUGAUGACGGUAAC